AAGUCGUAACAAGGUUUCCGUAGGUGAACCUGCGGAAGGAUCAUUACUGAGUAUUUGGGCUGAAAAGCCCGAUUCUCCACACUUUUGUUUUAAGCGAUUUGGGGAUGAUUUUGAGGAGUGAUUCUGACGAAUCAGUCUGAUGAAUCAGUCUGACGAGUUAGUCCCAUCUCGCGACAACACUUUUAUUCUAUGAAUAAAUCAAAACUUUCAACAACGGAUCUCUUGGUUCUG
rnacentral:misc_RNA from 1 species